rnacentral:rRNA from 1 species
GAUGAACGCUGGCGGCGUGCCUAAUACAUGCAAGUCGAGCGAACAGACGAGGAGCUUGCUCCUCUGACGUUAGCGGCGGACGGGUGAGUAACACGUGGAUAACCUACCUAUAAGACUGGGAUAACUUCGGGACACCGGAGCUAAUACCGGAUAAUAUAUUGAACCGCAUGGUUCAAUAGUGAAAGACGGUUUUGCUGUCACUUAUCGAUGGAUCCGCGCCGCAUUAGCUAGUUGGUAAGGUAACGGCUUACCAAGGCAACGAUGCGUAGACGACCUGAGAGGGUGAUCGGCCACACUGGAACUGAGACACGGUCCAGACUCCUACGGGAGGCAGCAGUAGGGAAUCUGCCGCAAUGGGCGAAAGCCUGACGGAGCAACGCCGCGUGAGUGAUGAAGGUCUUCGGAGCGUAAUACUCUGAUAUUAGGGAAGAACAAAUGUGUAAGUAACUAUGCACGUCUUGACGGUACCUAAUCAGAAAGCCACGGCUAACUACGUG